GACGAACGCUGGCGGCGUGCUUAACACAUGCAAGUCGAACGAAGUGGCGAACGGGUGAGUAACGCGUAAUCAACCUGCCCUUCCGAGGGGGACACCAGUUGGAAACGACUGCUAAUACCGCAUACUGAAGGAGGGGAUUGCGUCUGAUUAGCUAGUUGGAGGGGUAACGCCCCACCAAGGCGAUGAUCAGUAGCCGUGCCGAGAGGCUGAGCGGCCAAAUUGGGACUGGAACACGGCCCAGACUCCUACGGGAGGCAGCAGUGGGAAACCUUCCGAAAUGGAAGAAAGUCUGACGGAGCAACGCCGCGUGAGUGAUGACGGCCUUCGGGUUGUAAAGCUCUGUUAAUCGGGACGCGGUACCGGAAUAGAAAGCCACGGCUAACUACGUGCCAGCAGCCGCGGUAAUAC
rnacentral:rRNA from 1 species